rnacentral:tRNA from 1 species
UGGCACGUAGCUCAAUUGGCAGAGCCCCGGAUUGUUAAUCCGGCCGUUGGAGGUUCGAGCCCUCCCGUGCCAG